GUCAAUUGUUCGAACUCCUCGGUGUUUUUCCAUACAAUACAAGGUAAAAUAUUUUGCCCCAUAACACCCAUUUAUUUUUUCAUAUAAGACUUAAUAGCCCAUAAAAGGUUAUUUUCAAAAAUUUAAGAAGUUUCUUGAUUUUCUUUCUUUUGUUUUGCGACCCAAAUAAUACCAAUGCAAAUGUAAGGUAAAAGUCAGAGUCAGUCUUUUCCCGCC
rnacentral:lncRNA from 1 species